AGAAAAUAGCACACAAUAUCAUGCAUAAUUUUAGUUAAUUAAUCUAAAAAGAGUACUUGAAGGUAUAAGUAGAAAUACAAGAUCCCUUACUGACAUUUAGCGAGUAACUGGAUUCUUAGAAGUGGAUAGGAAGAGUGUGCUGCAUUUAGAAUUCCUUUACUGACUCCUACAAAUUUCCUUGCUUGUUUUCUCUUUCUAGAAAUCCAUUUUCUCUCUUUAUAACCUCAUUUUUUCUCUUUAGAACCUCACUUUCUCUCUCUAAAACCUCACUUUCUCACUCUAGAAUGGAGAUAAGAAGAAAGGUAG
rnacentral:lncRNA from 1 species